CAGGUACCGUACGCAUGGUGGAACGGUGAUGGAGGUUCCAGAGCUUCCUCAAGGUUGCAGCUCAUCAGCAGCGCCGUGUGGCCCAGCCCCUUCCUGUGAGAGAGACUACAGACCAGGAGAUACUGCUCAGUCACAGCGAUCGGCACCAUCAGCGAGCACAGAACGUCAGCUCACAGGCUGAAAAUGUCUACAAGCCCUUCUUGUGUGUGCCUGCCUUAGCCGGCAUCUUGCUAACGCUAACGCUUCGGGGAG